rnacentral:lncRNA from 1 species
AUGGUAAGGAUUACAAUUGUGAAAUAAUUAGUUUUGUAGUAUCUCUUUUUGCCUUUUUCUUUUAAUAAUUAUUUUGGGUUAUUACACAAUCGUUAAAAGACUUAGAAACUAGUAGUUUAGGAUCAGACCUGCACCUUGUGCAGGGUGAGAUAAUAUGAAAAAUAUUAAUGUUAUUUGUAUAUAAAAAAUCCUCACAUAUACGGCGAUGUAGAAUACAUUCCGGACCUCAACUUUGCAUUACCGACGGUUUACAAUAAAUAUAAUAAUAAUUUAAAAUAUAAGGUUGGUCUAUUUUGUCAAUCAUUAGCAGAUCACGAACUGUUAAUAUGGGUAUCUCAUUAUUGUUAUUCGUUGUUAUAGAUUUAGUCUGCGAAUAUUAUAUAUGUGGCAAUAUAAAAUUUCACUAGAAAAUAUAAGGUUGGUCUAAUUUUGCUCAAACUCAUUGUA